rnacentral:rRNA from 1 species
GAUGAACGCUGGCGGCGUGCCUAAUACAUGCAAGUCGAGCGAACGGACGAGAAGCCUGCUUUUCUGAUGUUAGCGGCGGACGGGUGAGUAACACGUGGAUAACCUACCUAUAAGACUGGGAUAACUUCGGGAAACCGGAGCUAAUACCGGAUAAUAUUUUGAACCGCAUGGUUCAAAAGUGAAGGACGGUCUUGCUGUCACUUAUAGAUGGAUCCGCGCUGCAUUAGCUAGUUGGUAAGGUAACGGCUUACCAAGGCAACGAUGCAUAGCCGACCUGAGAGGGUGAUCGGCCACACUGGAACUGAGACACGGUCCAGACUCCUACGGGAGGCAGCAGUAGGGAAUCUUCCGCAAUGGGCGAAAGCCUGACGGAGCAACGCCGCGUGAGUGAUGAAGGUCUUCGGAUCGUAAAACUCUGUUAUUAGGGAAGAACAUAUGUGUAAGUAACUGUGCACAUCUUGACGGUACCUAAUCAGAAAGCCACGGCUAACUACGUG